UACGAAGGGUGCAAGCGUUAUCCGGAUUCAUUGGGCGUAAAGGGUGCGUAGGCGGCGCGGUAAGUCGGGUGUGAAAUCUCGGGGCUUAACUCCGAAACUGCAUUCGAUACUGCCGUGCUUGAGGACUGGAGAGGAGACUGGAAUUUACGGUGUAGCGGUGAAAUGCGUAGAUAUCGUAAGGAAGACCAGUGGCGAAGGCGGGUCUCUGGACAGUUCCUGACGCUGAGGCACGAAGGCCAGGGGAGCAAACGGG
rnacentral:rRNA from 1 species